AUUGAACGCUGGCGGCAUGCCUUACACAUGCAAGUCGAACGGCAGCGGGGGAGAAGCUUGCUUUUCCUGCCGGCGAGUGGCGAACGGGUGAGUAAUACAUCGGAACGUGCCCUGUAGUGGGGGAUAACUAGUCGAAAGAUUAGCUAAUACCGCAUACGACCUGAGGGUGAAAGUGGGGGACCGCAAGGCCUCAUGCUAUAGGAGCGGCCGAUGUCUGAUUAGCUAGUUGGUGGGGUAAAGGCCUACCAAGGCGACGAUCAGUAGCUGGUCUGAGAGGACGAUCAGCCACACUGGGACUGAGACACGGCCCAGACUCCUACGGGAGGCAGCAGUGGGGAAUUUUGGACAAUGGGCGAAAGCCUGAUCCAACAAUGCCGCGUGUGUGAAGAAGGCCUUCGGGUUGUAAAGCACUUUUGUCCGGAAAGAAAUGGCUCUGGUUAAUACCUGGGGUCGAUGACGGUACCAGAAGAAUAAGGACCGGCUAACUACGCGCCAGCCGCCGCCGUAA
rnacentral:rRNA from 1 species